AGUCUGAGGCUGAGCUGGAACCUGCAGCAAGGCUUUGACGGUAAGGUUCUUUGCUUGUAAUUUGGGAAUCUUAUCCUGAAAAGGGGCGCUGAUCAUUCUUGGGGUACGUGACUGCUAGGAGCUUUAGGUACAGGCAGGAUGGCUUCCCGGACUUAAAGCUUAAGACUACUUCUUCUGCCACUACCCACAACCUUGGCUUUUUAAGAAUUACAAAAGAGAGUGGGAAACAUAUCCCUCAUAUAAGAUCGGAAUAUAUUUUGAUUUUUCUGCUUUUUAUGGUUUCAAUAUGCGCUCUGAUAUUAAACAUAGAAGUAUAAAGUGCAAUGAUAAAUUCCCUGCCUGUGCUCCCUUAGCAUCUCAAUGGACCCUGGGUUCUGAAAGCAUUCAUAUUUUAUUCAAACUGAAAUUUGAUCAAUUCCUCUAAUAAACAUAAUAAAAUAUUUGCAUAGUGUAAGAUCCCUCGACUGAAAGCAUGGUAGGGAGUGUCAGAUAGGACUGACAAAAACAUACUUCAUCUGUAGUGUUUAACAAAAUCCACCCAAGUCUUUCCAGUGUGUGUUCUAUAAACUACAGCUAAACUAUUAGUGAACAAAGAGUUGCAUGUAACUAGGAUGUUGUAGGUGAGAGUAACUAGCAAGAAUAAAGUUUGAUCUCCAUAGAGGCUGGCGUUUGGUGAGUCUGCCCAGUGGCUGGGCUGGUUUUCCUCCCUCGUUCACUACAUCACACAGAUGUUAACAGUAUGUCCAGAAAUUCCUCUACAACCUGCCUCAGUCAGUUUUCCUCUGGAAAUAUGAGGCCAGUAAUCUGGGAAAGAAGAGGAAAAACAAGUUAGAAAAGGACAGAACAGCUUCCAAAGUCAUGCAAUUGCAGGACACUUUCAGGAAAGGUCUUUUAACUUGAAGGCACAGAACAUUAAGUAUUCCCAAGGCCAAUGAAAUUCAGAUUUCUAAUAUAAAGUAUAAUACAAGCAAAAUGUCAUGGAAAA
rnacentral:lncRNA from 1 species